rnacentral:rRNA from 1 species
AGAGUUUGAUCCUGGCUCAGGAUAAACGCUGGCGGCGUGCCUAACACAUGCAAGUCGAACGAUCCCGCAAGGGGAGAGUGGCGGAAGGGUGAGUAACACGUGGGAAUCUACCUCCUCGCAGGGAACAACCUCUCGAAAGAGAGGCUAAUACCCAAAAGGGUCAGAAAUGAUCAGAGUCGAAAGGCGUGAGGAGAGGAGCCCGCGGCCCAUCAGCUAGUUGGUGAGGUAAUGGCUUACCAAGGCUACGACGGGUAGGGGAUCUGAGAGGAUGUCCCCCACACUGGAACUGAAACACGGUCCAGACGCCUACGGGUGGCAGCAGUGAGGAAUAUUGGACAAUGGGCGAAAGCCCGAUCCAGCAACGCCGCGUGGAGGAUGAAGGCCUUCGGGUCGUAAACUUCUUUAGAGGGAGACGAGAAAGGACGGUAUCCCUAGAAUAAGCGACGGCAAACUACGUG